rnacentral:rRNA from 1 species
GAUGAACGCUGGCGGCGUGCCUAAUACAUGCAAAUCGAGCGAACGGCGAGGAGCUUUCUUCUCUUGAUUUUGCGGGCGGCGGGGUAGUAACCCGUUGAUAACCUUCCUUUAAGGCCUGGGAAAACUUGGGAAACCCGGGCUAAAUCCCGGAAAAUUUUUUGACCCGCUGGGUUCAAAGUGAAAGGCCGGUUUGCUUUCAACUAUAGGUGGGUUCCGCGCUGCAUUAGCUGGUUGGUAAGGUAACGGCUUACCAAGGCAACGAUGCAUAGCCGACCUGAGAGGGUGAUCGGCCACACUGGAACUGAGACACGGUCCAGACUCCUACGGGAGGCAGCAGUAGGGAAUCUUCCGCAAUGGGCGAAAGCCUGACGGAGCAACGCCGCGUGAGUGAUGAAGGUCUUCGGAUCGUAAAACUCUGUUAUUAGGGAAGAACAUAUGUGUAAGUAACUGUGCACAUCUUGACGGUACCUAAUCAGAAAGCCACGGCUAACUACGUG